AUGAUCUCUUCAUCUCUAGUGCUAUUUCUGGCAGUAGUUUCCUGUGUUGAUUCAUAUGAACUCACUCAGCCUGAGUCUCUGACUGUCCGUCCUGAUGAUUCUCUCACUAUCAGCUGCAGAGUCUCAUAUUCAGUCACAGGCUACAGCACAGGCUGGAUUCGUCAGCCUGCAGGAAAAGCUCUGGAGAGGAUUGGAGUUAUCUUUUAUGAUGGAGACUUAGUCUACAAGGAUUGUCUGAAAAGCGAGUUCAGCAUUAGCAGAGACACUUCCAGUAACACUGCAAGGAAAAAUUAUGAAAGCUGA